rnacentral:rRNA from 1 species
UACGGAGGGUGCAAGCGUUAUCCGGAUUCACUGGGUUUAAAGGGUGCGUAGGUGGGUUGGUAAGUCAGUGGUGAAAUCUCCAGGCUUAACUUGGAAACUGCCAUUGAUACUAUCAAUCUUGAAUACCGUGGAGGUCAGCGGAAUAUGUCAUGUAGCGGUGAAAUGCUUAGAGAUGACAUAGAACACCAAUUGCGAAGGCAGCUGGCUACGCGGAUAUUGACACUGAUGCACGAAAGCGUGGGGGAUCAAACAGG